GUUGAAACUCAAAGGAAUUGACGGGGGCCCGCACAAGCGGUGGAGCAUGUGGUUUAAUUCGAAGCAACGCGAAGAACCUUACCAGGUCUUGACAUCCUUUGACCACUCUGGAGACAGAGCUUUCCCUUCGGGGACAAAGUGACAGGUGGUGCAUGGUUGUCGUCAGCUCGUGUCGUGAGAUGUUGGGUUAAGUCCCGCAACGAGCGCAACCCUUGAUUUUAGUUGCCAGCAUUUAGUUGGGCACUCUAAAGUGACUGCCGGUGCAAGCCGGAGGAAGGUGGGGAUGACGUCAAAUCAUCAUGCCCCUUAUGACCUGGGCUACACACGUGCUACAAUGGAUAGUACAAAGGGUCGCGAAGCCGCGAGGUGGAGCUAAUCCCAUAAAACUAUUCUCAGUUCGGAUUGUAGGCUGCAACUCGCCUACAUGAAGCCGGAAUCGCUAGUAAUCGUGGAUCAGCAUGCCACGGUGAAUACGUUCCCGGGCCUUGUACACACCGCCCGUCACACCACGAGAGUUUGUAACACCCGAAGUCGGUAGGGUAACCUUUAUGGAGCCAGCCGCCGAAGGUGGGACAGAUAAUUGGGGUGAAGUCGUAACAAGGUAGCCGUAUCGGAAGGUGCGGCUGGAUCACCUCCUUUCUAAGGAA
rnacentral:rRNA from 1 species